UCCGAGUUGACCCCGGCAGUCUCCCAUGAGUCCCCGCCAUUACGCGCUGGCAACAUGGAACGAGGGUUGCGCUCGUUGCGGGACUUAACCCAACACCUCACGGCACGAGCUGACGACAGCCAUGCAGCAUCUGUGGUGCACCCUCGAAGGUCACACGUUUCCGUGCGCUUGCAGCACCAUGUCAAGUCCAGGUAAGGUUCUUCGCGUUGCAUCGAAUUAAACCACAUGCUCCACCGCUUGUGCGGGCCCCCGUCAAUUCCUUUGAGUUUCAGCCUUGCGGCCGUACUCCCCAGGCGGGGCGCUUAUCGUAUUAGCUUCGACACGGAGAGGGUCGAUCCCCCCCGCGUCUAGUGCCCAUCGUUUACGGCGUGGACUAC
rnacentral:misc_RNA from 1 species